GAUGAACGCUGGCGGCGUGCCUAAUACAUGCAAGUCGAGCGAACGGACGAGAAGCUUGCUUCUCUGAUGUUAGCGGCGGACGGGUGAGUAACACGUGGAUAACCUACCUAUAAGACUGGGAUAACUUCGGGAAACCGGAGCUAAUACCGGAUAAUAUUUUGAACCGCAUGGUUCAAAAGUGAAAGACGGUCUUGCUGUCACUUAUAGAUGGAUCCGCGCUGCAUUAGCUAGUUGGUAAGGUAACGGCUUACCAAGGCAACGAUGCAUAGCCGACCUGAGCGGGUGAUCGGCCACACUGGAACUGAGACACGGUACAGACUCCUACGGGAGGCAGCAGUAGGGAAUCUUCCGCAAUGGGCGAAAGCCUGACGGAGCAACGCCGCGUGAGUGAUGAAGGUCUUCGGAUCGUAAAACUCUGUUAUUAGGGAAGAACAUAUGUGUAAGUAACUGUGCACAUCUUGACGGUACCUAAUCAGAAAGCCACGGCUAACUACGUG
rnacentral:rRNA from 1 species